CCUACGGGAGGCAGCAGUAGGGAAUCUUCCGCAAUGGACGCAAGUCUGACGGAGCAACGCCGCGUGAGUGACGAAGGUUUUCGGAUCGCAAAACUCUGUUGUGAGGGAAGAACACGUACCAACUAACUAUUGGUACCUUGACGGUACCUCACCAGAAAGCCACGGCUAACUACGUGCCAGCAGCCGCGGUAAU
rnacentral:rRNA from 1 species